rnacentral:rRNA from 1 species
ACGUAGGGUGCGAGCGUUGUCCGGAAUUAUUGGGCGUAAAGAGCUCGUAGGCGGUCUGUCGCGUCUGCUGUGAAAUCCCGAGGCUCAACCUCGGGCCUGCAGUGGGUACGGGCAGACUAGAGUGCGGUAGGGGAGAUUGGAAUUCCUGGUGUAGCGGUGGAAUGCGCAGAUAUCAGGAGGAACACCGAUGGCGAAGGCAGGUCUCUGGGCAUUAACUGACGCUGAGGAGCGAAAGCAUGGGGAGCGAACAGGA